ensembl:lncRNA
AAAUAAAGAAACUUCAUAGCCCUGGGUGAGGGGGAUAAACGUCCUUAGCUGCCAAAUCUGGCCCACGGGCCAUAGUUUGAGGACCUCUGUUAUAGUAAAGGAAAAAAAAAUGUUUUUAAUAAUGUAAGCAUCUCCACAUAAUCCAGCAUUAAAAAAAAAAAAAUCUCAGUAGUCAGUGUUAGUUGGAAUGAGUAAUUAGGGGGAGAAUGAGAUAAAUAGAAAAAAAAAAUAGAAUACAAUGAAGAAAUACUAUGAGUUGAGACGGAUUUAAAGAGAAUGUCCACAAUAUAUCCUAAUAUAACCUAUGAGGGGAAAAAAUGACUUGGUCAUAAGAAUGCAUGAAAAAAUAAAAUUAGAGGUAAAAAUGAACUUAGAAUUUAAAUAAGAACCCCAAAGGGGUUCUAGCCUUGAAGCAGGCUAGAAAGUGGAGAAUUUUACCUAAGUAGUUUACCUAAAAAUAAAAUAGAAUAGCCAGUGCUCAAAGAUACCAUAAAACAAUAAAAAAUAUUCAAAGUAAAAAAAAAUUGGGGGGGGAUAGAUGAAAAUAAAAGAUAGCUACUAUCAAAAACAACUCUCCUGAAAAACAAAUCUAGGAGAAAUAAUUUAGGAAUCAUCAAUAUUGAAAAACAUGACAAAUCUAAAACCCUGAGUACUACUUCAAGAAAUAGGAAAACUGUAUAUAUCUAGUGGAACCAAAGGGGAAAAUGAAUAUGGAAAGAAUCCACCAAUCACCUCCUGAAAGAAACCCCAAACUGAAAACACAAGAGUAUCAUAAUCAAAAUCCAAAGCUUCCAAUAUGGAGCAAAAAUAUUGCAAGCAAUCAGAAAGAGUCAGGAAUCCGAGUCAGGAUCACCUAACACCAUGUAGUAACACUCUAAAUUAGAAUUUACAUUCCAAAAGGCAAAAGCUGGUAGCCAAGAAGACCUUAUACAAAGAGAAUAAUCUUAAGGAGUUUGGGGGCAGAAGAGAAUGGAUUUUUAAUAGACUGUAGAACUUUCAAGCAUUCUCAGUGAAAAUACCAGAGCUCAGUGGAAACUUUGAAGCACAAACACAGAAGUCAAAGGUAGCAAAUAUAUAUGAGCAUACAGAAGAGCCUUCAGGGGUCCUCAAACUACGGCCGGCGGGCCAGAUGCGGCAACUGAGGACAUUUAUCCCCUUCACCUAGGGCUAUGAAGUUUAUUUAAAGGCCCACAAAACAAAGUUUUUGUUUUUACUAUAGUCCGGCCCUCCAACAGUCUGAGGGACAGUGAACUGCCCCCUUAUUUAAAAAGUUUGAGGACCCACAGAAAUAAUUAUGAUGGGUUUAACUUCUAAUAAGAGGAGAAAAGGAAAAUGUGUCCUUUAGAAUCUCACUGUUAUCAAGAGUCAUAAAUGGAUCUAAGUAACAUGCAAACAUAGAAAUGAUCUUGUUUUGGUUGAUUCAUUUUCAGAGAGAAAAGGAAAAGAAAGAAAAAAAGGAACAUGGUAAGAAAAAAAUAAUGAAAAAGGGGGAAGAAAAGAGAGCAAAGUUUAAGAAUGGCAAAAUCAAGGGGAAAAUGGGUGUAAGCAAUACAAACAUCAUCUUGAUAGGAUUAAUCAUAAAAGAAGAUAUUAACAAGAGAGGAAGAUCAAAUGUAAGUUAAGAAUAUGAAGGUAAAGAAAAGAGAACCAGAGAAGGUUGAAGAACAGAACACUUCAAUAAUAGACUAUAAUAAUGUUAAUCAUAUUUCUUUUCUUUCUCCAGCUCCUCUUUUGCAAAUAGGAGAAUGAAAACAAUGAAAUGAACCUCCAACCUCCUCUCCCCCCAAAAAAGAUAUAAUGGAAAGAAGUAAAUAAUUCAUAUUUAUGACCAUGAGGAGAAUUAAGAUCAAUUGACACAUAAAAGGGAGGAAAGGCACAAAAUGGGUUAGAAAGCAAAAUCCAAAAAUACAUUGUAUAUAAAAAACACACUUAAAAAAAAAAGAUUCACACAGUUAAAAUAUAAGGCUAGAACAGAAUUUUUUAUGCUUCAGGUGAAUUUAGAAAAGCUAAAGAAGAAAUUGUGUCAGACAAGUAGAAUGAAGGCUUUAUGCUCACGGGUACCAUAAAAAAUGAAAUAUUAGUAUUUGGUGUAUCAAUGACAUAGCAUCCAAAUACUUAAAAGGAAAGUUAAUUGAAUUGCAAAGAGAAAUAGACAGUAAACUAUAGUAUCAAGAGACCCUUACAAAACACCACAAGUUAAAGGAGGGGAAAAAACAAAGAAAUUGAAUAAAAUCUUAUGCAGGUUACAUAUGAUAGACUUUUGGUGGAUAUUGAAUGGAAGGAGGAAGGAGUACACAUAUUUCAGCGCUAUAAAGCACUGUUCUAAAAACUUUUAUGACAUUAAAACCUCAUUAACAAAUGCAGAAAAGCAAAAAUAUUAAACAUUCUUUACUGACCACAAUGUAAUAAAAAAUGUAAUCAGUAAAGAUCAUUUGAAGAAAUGAAUGAAACUUAAAUGCAACUUAAAUUUAACAUGCAAGAAUUCAUGGUUCAAAGAAUAAACCACAUAAAUAUCUAAUUUCAAAAAGUUACAUCAAUGAGACAAUUGCUAAAAACCUUUGGUCUAUAUCCAUGGCAUACAUCCUUAGAUCAAUAUCACAAUCAAUUUCAUCAACAGAGAGAAGGGAAGUAUAGAUCAAUGGAUUGGAAAACAACUUGAAAACUUUUUUUUAAAGAAUUUUUUAAAAAACUAAAAAUGAAAAUUGAAAUUCUGAAAAUUAAAGUAAAAUUGAAAACCCAAAAAUGAACUGACAAAACUAGGAACUUUUUUUUUUAAUGAAGUGAAUAAACAGGAUAAUCUGAUCCCUCCCCCAAAAGAGGAGAAAAUCAAAUUGCCUAAAUCUAAAAUGAAACAAGGAUUCAUAACAAAUGAAGAGAAAACACAAUCAUUGGAAACUUUUUUUCAAUUAAAUACCAAAAAAUUGACAGCAAAUAUAAUUAAUAAAUGUUUACAGAAUUAUAAAAUUACCAAAUUAACAGAUUAAAAAAUGCAGAAUUUAAAUAGAAAUUGAACAAAUCCUAAAGGAACUUCUCAAGGGGAAAAAAGAACCUAUCAAAGCACAAUAAAUUCCAAUAUUACAAAAAUACUGAAUUGAUCAUUAAUUUAGGAAAUUUUGAAAUGGGGGCAUGCACAUGUAUUCUUUAGAUGCUCACCAGGAAGGACCAUGAUUACAAUGGGGUGACAAUCAUGUUCCAAUAACUACAGAGUAUAUGGGGGCAAAAAGCAUAUAAGGUAGAGCCAAGCAGCAAGCCUAAGAGUCCUGAGAAUAAUGACACUAAAUAAUGACCUUAACAAUGAGACAUCUCAUAAGUGAAAGCUACAUGUUGUCACCCCUAUUAGAAUGUGAGCUUCUUGAGGUGGAAUUUUUCUCAUUCCAGAGAAAUCUUUGUCUCCAUACUACUCAGCACAGUGUUUUGCACAUAGUAAGCACUUAAUAAAUGCUUUAUUCGUUUAUUCACAACACACAUAAGAAUUACAUGAAUAUUAUUACUAAACUAAACAGCAAAUAUGGCAGGAGUUAGUGGGCUUUUUUGAGAGGAAAGCAGGUUUAAAAUAGUAAUAUAAUUAAUAAAAACAAGUAUCAAAUAUGAAAAAGUGCAUAGAAGAGAGAAGGUGCUUCAAAGAAGGAUUAGAGAGCUUUGUAGAAAUAUCAAAUUAAAAUUUUAACAUGAAAUUUUUUAUUAUAGCUUUUUAUUUACAAGAUAUAUGCAUAGGUAAUUUUUCAUCAUUGAGAAUUGCAAAACCUUUUGUUCCAACUUUUCCCCUCCUUUCCCUCACCCCCUCCCCCAGAUGGCAGGUUGACCAAUACAUGUUAAAUAUAACAUGAACUUUUUUUUUAAAAAAAAAGCUGUAUAUAAUGGAGAUUCAUGGAAUCAUAUGUAAUCCUCUUUCUAUUCUUCAUAGAUGAAAAAUUCAUUGUUUACUGAUGUUUGUAAUCUCACAAAAAAAUUUACCCCCCAAAAAUCUAAGUUGUUAAAAAAAUUCAACAGAUAUUAUCUUUAAAUGUGCACAGCAUUGGAGCUAACAAAGAUCAAAAAGAACCCAGCUCCUGACCUCAAGGAAAUUAUGAUCUACUAACGGACUUUAAAUUCUAUAUCCAAGCUCCAUGGCUUUCUAUAGUCAAAAUAUUUAUCAUUCAUUGACCAAUAUUCAGGAUGGCUGGCUUUCUCUGAUGAUGAACCUCUCUAUAACUUAGUUGGUUUUUCAGCAAUAGCUGUGGUAACAUCAUCCCUGUUUUCAGAGUUUUUCUAGCAUAGCUUUAGAAAAGCCAGAAGCACCUUUAUUCCAUGGCAAGACAUCAGAGUAAGACUUAGUAAUGAAGUCUGGUCUACACCACUGGUGUGGGAAGUAUGGUCAAUGCCCUUUAAACACUGCUACUUAGCAUCACAAACCACUGCUCACAAAAGGAGAGCAAUAAUUAUAAUACUGGUUUCCAUUUAUAAAGAAUUUUAUGGUUACUGAGUAUCUUCACUUCAUGUCAUUAGAUCUUCUUUGAAUCACACAACAAACCAUUCGAGUCUGAUCAUUUCCAAUAUCAUUAUGCCCAUUUUACAAAUGAGAAAAGUCUUAGAGCCUUGCCUAAGGUUACCCAAACCCAGGUCUCUGACCUUUCCACCAUGCUGCAGCAAGAACACUGGUUCCAAUUUCUUCACUGCAAAUUAUAUUUUGUAUUAAUUUUCAAGGCUAUAUUAUUGUAGUUUUAAAGAGUAGUUUAGGGAGAUUUCUUAAAACACCAAUCUAGCCUAGAGAUUUGGGGAUAUGGUUGCCAAGUGACCAGAUGGUUAUAUAGAAUCAGAGAAAAUAAUAUCAUUUUCUAUAAAAUGGAUUGUUGGCAGAUUACAAUGCAUUGAAAAACAACUUUUAAUUAAAAUUUGCUUUAAAUGGAAAUAUUUCUUGCAAUGAUGAUUAUAAUGAUUUGCCGACAGGUGAUAAAGUGAGAUGUUUCUGUUUAGACUUUGAAGCACAGCUCCUAGAUAGUUUGUGAAUCAUUUUUAAUUUUAAGUGAUGUCUUCUGGCACUAAGUCAACUUUGUCCCCAAUAAUUCAUUAGCAAUGAUAGCUGCUCAAUGGUGAGAUUGGAAUCAGUGUAGUACACAACCAUGUUAAACACUCAGAUCUCCUAAUUAAUGGCUUUUCCGUAUGGAACAGAGAGCUCGCUCUUCCUCCCUGAGGGACUGCAAUUUCAUGGUUCCUAAUGAUGGCUAGAUUAUAUUAUCUGGAUCACUUGGGCUAUGGGUGACAUAAGCAAUGUUCAGAAAUGUUUACAUGAGAUUUAAGAGGAGAAAAAUCCCUCCGGAACCCUAAAAAUAAAAAGAAAGAGUUUGAAAAUGUAUGUUUCUAAUUUUCAUUAAUAUAUUGCUCUGACUUUUAUGUGACUUGGGUGUCAAUUUCAAGUUCUAGUCUUUCUGAAAUCUACCUUCUUCCCACCUUCUUAACCUUCUCUCCUCUCCCUGUCAUCAUCAGGUUAAUGUUUGUAGAAUCUAUUUAUUUGCUGUAUUCAGUGUGCUAAUUUACUUGAAGCAUAUAUUUUCAUUAAAUAUACUGGGAUUGUUAUUUUACAUAUUGUUCUUGGGACCAUAUUUGAUGGAUAUUUCUUAUUUUAUUUGAUGAUCCAAAUAAAAUACUUCAUUCCAAAUUACAAGUGAUUAUUCUUUUCAUUUUCAAAUGUUUCUCUAGAGCAGCUAGAUGGCACAAUGGAUAAAACACCAGUCCUGAAGUAAUGAACGUCGGAGUUCAGAUCUGGCCCCAGACACUUAACAUUUCCUAGCUGUGUGACUGGGGGUCAGUCACUUAACCCAAAUGCCCCAACAAAUAAAUAAAUGAUGGAUGCACAGAUAGAUAGAUGAAUAAAUAAAAUAAACAAAUGUUUCAUUUGCCUCCUUCCCCUGUUUUAAGUUUGGAGAAAAAAGAUAUACCCAAACAAACUGAUUU